AUUGAACGCUGGCGGCAGGCCUAACACAUGCAAGUCGAGCGGAGAGGCGGACGGGUGAGUAAUGACUAGGAAUCUGCAUGGUAGUGGUGGAUAACGUCCGGAAACGGGCGCUAAUACCGCAUACUAUCAGAUGAGCCUAGGUCGGAUUAGCUAGUUGGUGGGGUAAAGGCAUACAAAGGCGACGAUCCGUAACUGGUCUGAGAGUAUGAUAAGUCAGACGGGAACUGAGACACGGUCCAGACUCCUAGGGGAGGCAGCAGUGGGGAAUAUUGGAAAAUGGGCGAAAGCCUGAUCCAGCCAUGCCGCGUGUGUGAAGAAGGUCUUCGGAUUGUAAAGCACUUUAAGUUGGGAGGCGUUACCAACAGAAUAAGCACCGGCUAACUUCGUGCCAGCAGCCGCGGUAAUAC
rnacentral:rRNA from 1 species